ensembl:lncRNA
CAUAGGUUUUGAAACCAAUAAAGACACUGCACAUAGCUAAGAUUACCUAUCUUUUCUUGCAGAGUUAGGUCUGCGGUCAGUCAGCCUUGUCUGAUCCUUGGGAGAAACAGGAAGGCAGCUAGCCAUGUGGAGAGGCUCCGAUGUUGAGGAAUGUCAGGCCUGUAGCCAUCUGCCAAGAAGCGGGCAGAGGCUAGGAGGCAGCCAGAAGAUCUGCAGCAAAGUCUGGGAUCCCAGACAGCUUUGAAGGGUGGUUCAAGGAAAGCCAACCUACAGAAAAGCUGAGGGCUGGUCAGUUGGUGCUUCCAGGCUUCACCUCCCUGUCAUGUGGUGAAGAAGACUGCUGGGAUUAAGGGCCUAUGGACAUACUGGAGUACUUAUCAACUUCCCAUCUCUACAUGCUUGGAAGAUGAUGUGCAGCUUGUUCCUGUCCUGACCAAAGGAAUGCUUCUGCAUCCUUCAGUUCAGGUGCACCUGUGGUGUCAGUUCUGUGUCAAAAACACUGCGGUUAGGAAAGGGAUUAAGCUGACUGGAAAAAAGUUUGUAGGUGAAGUGGUGUAGGUACUUGCAGCAUGAAAGGAAGAUUCAAAGGAGAGGAAACAAGGAAGAAGCAAGGAAAAAAUACAACUGCCACCCAAAAUGUAGCAAUGGGAAAACCUUCCGUAAGUAUAUUCAUGUAUUUCUAACUUGCAUUUUAUGAUAAUGCUGAGAUAAAAUUUUAACAAGGUAAGCUAACUCCUAGAUCACUGUAUUGAAGUUGGAGGAGCUGAUGUGCAUGUACAUUGCUUUAAAUGAGAAAGAUGUAGGCCUCUGAGUAUGGUGUAUGUUUGUGGUCUUGGCAUGUUUCCUAAAGGCCAGACAUUUACA